GAUGAAGAACGCAGCGAAAUGCGAUAAGUGAUGUGAAUUGCAGAAUUCAGUGAAUCAUCGAAUCUUUGAACGCACCUUGCACCCUUUGGCAUUCCGAAGGGUAUGCUCGUUUGAGUGUCAUUGUACUCUCACUCUCCCGAUACUUUUGGAUCGGGAGUGGUGGACUUGGGUGCUGCUGCUUAACUGUGGCUCGCCUUAAAUGAAGUAGUGCAACUCUCGGUUGGACAUAGUACGGCGUGAUAAGUGUCUUCGCCGGCGCCUCAUUCGAGGGUGGCCGAUCGGGAGCUCUGUGCUUCAAACUGUCUUCGGACAACAUCUGACAACUUGACCUCAAAUCGAGUAGGACUACCCGCUGAACUUAAGCAUAUCAAUAAGCGGAGGA
rnacentral:misc_RNA from 1 species